UACGUAGGGUGCAAGCGUUAAUCGGAAUUACUGGGCGUAAAGCGUGCGCAGGCGGUUUUGUAAGACAGAGGGGAAAUCCCCGGGCUCAACCUGGGAACUGCCUUUGUGACUGCAAGGCGUGAGUGCGGCAGAGGGGGAUGGAAUUCCGCGUGUAGCAGUGAAAUGCGUAGAUAUGCGGAGGAACACCGAUGGCGAAGGCAAUCCCCUGGGCCUGCACUGACGCUCAUGCACGAAAGCGUGGGGAGCAAACAGG
rnacentral:rRNA from 1 species